rnacentral:snRNA from 1 species
AGAUACGAAGGUGACCUGGCUGCGACAUCUGUCACCCCGUGGAUCACCAGGGUUGGUUUGGCUGCUCUGGCUGGCGGGCGGGGGCCCCUCCCUCCCUCCCUGCUCCCUGUGUCCCUCCCGAGGCUACACCCUAGGUUGAUGAGGACCCCAACAGAGGAGGACCGUUCCUCAGUAAAGGGACUGUGAGAGCUCCAAAAGAGCUCUCAGGUGUGACAGCUAGAAACUACUGUCUGGGUAAGCAAGGUUCUAGCUUGAAGUCCUUUUCUU